rnacentral:lncRNA from 1 species
UCCAGUUUUGAUAAAUCUAAAAUCUGCUCCUUAGAGACAUCAUUUUUCUUUGUACGGUAAGUCCAACUUUUGUCGCUCUCUUGUUUUCCUUUCUAGGUACUCUGUUGCUUGUACCUGAACUGAUCAUAUGACAACAUAAUUAGCAGUGAACAAAUGAAUAUUUAUAUUUAUAAUGCACAAAUUUGGAAACACUCUUAUGACAGCGAGGAGUUGUGUGCACGAUAGAACCUAUAAACAUGUUACUAUUACAUAGUAUACCAUAGCAAAAUCUACGAAAAAAAUCGUUUAAAAAGCAAAGCAUUCUGGUCUAACCAAAUACAACACCAUAAUAAACAAACUCAAAUGACACUUCCACAGAAUUUGGUCACCCCAAACCGAUUGCAAUUAACGGAUUCUUAUCAUUCCGUGACGAACAUAACACUUUAUUGAACCCAUUACAACUCUUACUAUUCAGUUUCGAAAUGACCUUAGUCUCAAACACACACCUGAGAAGUGAUCCAACAUUAGAAAAGGAUCCAAGUUCCUCAUCUCGCUCCUUAGAAUCACGUCACAUAGAUCAUAUCAAAUAAAUGCAGAAGGCAACAUUCAAUUCAAGUUAAGCAAAAUGCAAGAAUAAUAAUAUAAAAAUAUACCUUCCAAUGCCUCUUCUAAACAGUUCCAACCCGUUCACGUCGAGGUUUAGCCAAAAACUUGUUGAGAACCAACUUGGGAGUGAUAAAAGCAGAGUAUGAUAUUCCUCCUGACAUUGAAAAAGAUACAAACAGAUCGAUCUUAUAGAAUCCAAUUAAUGUUCUAAAAUGUUCUAAAAUGUCAUGAAUUAUAAUGACAAAGGCUUAAUAAUCAAUUAUGUGCCGCCAUUCCAUCAAAAACUAAUAUCAAACUUUGUUAGUGAGGAAACAUAAUAUAAUGAAUUAAUACACUUACCACUACUUGGUUUUGUAUAAGGAAUAAACUUUGUUAGUAGUCAACAUCAUAAACUUCAAAGUAACACCAAAACAGUGUAAUUCUGUAGUGGACAACGCACUGUCAGUCACUAUCGGUGUCAUAUAUCAAUCAAGUUCAUUAACAUUCAAAAUCAACAACAAAAUUCCUAUGAUUCCAUGCGUAUAAUACACAAAAUAUUCAACUAAACAAAAUUUAAAAAAAAAAAAUUAAAAAAAACCUAGAACAAUUUCAAUACAAAAUAAUUAACCUAUUCCAGUAGGGAAAUCUGUUCCAAUUUCAAUCAGAGAAACACUGAGUUAGCGAUUCAGAUGGAGAUCGAGUACCGAUUAGGUUUAGGUUUUGUGAGGAAGCGCUUCAAUUAGGAAUCACGGUAACUUCAUAGUCUCUAGGUUUACAGCAUUGGUGUGAGGCAGCGAUUCUGAGUGAAUCAGGAACUUCGGUAACUUCAUAGGAAGCGAUUCUGAGUGCACGUCGACGAAGGAAACGAUUAUGAGUGGAUUAAGAAGCGAUUGUGAAGAAGUGAUUAUGAGUGGAUUGGGAAGAAGCAAAGAAGCGAUUAGAGUGAUAAAGGAGAACGCGAUUUUGUUCUUUCAAUUUUGACUUUGAGAGAUGAUUUUGAGUUAUUAAAUUUUUUUUUACCAAAU